GACAGAGGGUGCAAACGUUGUUCGGAAUUACUGGGCGUAAAGCGCGUGUAGGCGGUUAUGCAAGUCGGGUGUGAAAGCCCCGGGCUCAACCCAGGAAGUGCAUUCGAUACUGCGUAGCUAGAGUACUGGAGAGGAUGGUGGAACUCUCGGUGUAGAGGUGAAAUUCGUAGAUAUCGAGAAGAACACCGGUGGACGAAGGCGGCCAUCUGGACAGAUACUGACGCUGAGACGCGAAAGCGUGGGGAGCAAACAGGA
rnacentral:rRNA from 1 species